rnacentral:rRNA from 1 species
UACGGAGGGUGCGAGCAUUAAUCGGAUUUAUUGGGCGUAAAGAGCGCGUAGGCGGUGGAAUCAGUCGGAUGUGAAAUGCCGGGGCUUACCCCCGGAACGGCAUUCGAAACAGUUUCACUAGAGGGUAGGCGGAGAAAACGGAAUUCCACAAGUAGCGGUGAAAUGCGUAGAUAUGUGGAAGAACACCGGUGGCGAAGGCGGUUUUCUAGCUUAUACCUGACGCUGAGGCGCGAAAGCAAGGGGAGCAAACAGG